UACGAAGGGGGCUAGCGUUGCUCGGAAUCACUGGGCGUAAAGGGCGCGUAGGCGGAUCUUUAAGUCGGGGGUGAAAGCCCAGGGCUCAACCCUGGAAUUGCCUUCGAUACUGAAGAUCUCGAGACCGGGAAGAGGUAAGUGGAACUGCGAGUGUAGAGGUGAAAUUCGUAGAUAUUCGCAAGAACACCAGUGGCGAAGGCGGCUUACUGGUCCGGUUCGACGCUGAGGCUGCGAA
rnacentral:rRNA from 1 species